rnacentral:rRNA from 1 species
UGGGGAAUCUUGCGCAAUGGGCGAAAGCCUGACGCAGCAACGCCGCGUGCGGGAUGAAGGCCUUCGGGUUGUAAACCGCUGUCGUAGGGGAGAAAGGGUCGUUGAAGAAACGACUUUGAUCUAUCCUAGGAGGAAGUCCGGGCUAAGUUCGUGCCAGCAGCCGCGGUAACACGAACCGGACAAACGUUAUUCGGAAUUACUGGGCUUAAAGGGUGCGUAGGCGGUGCGGUAAGUGCGGUGUGAAAUCCCACGGCUCAACCGUGGAAUUGCGCUGCAUACUGCCGUGCUAGAGGGAGACAGGGGUAAGCGGAACUGAUGGUGGAGCGGUGAAAUGCGUUGAUAUCAUCAGGAACACCGGUGGCGAAAGCGGCUUACUGGGUCUCUUCUGACGCUGAGGCACGAAAGCUAGGGUAGCGAACAGGAUUAGAUACCCCAGUAGUCCCUGAGCGGGCUGGCAAGGCGCAU